rnacentral:misc_RNA from 1 species
AACCAUAGAAACCUGCGGAGUACCUGCGGAAGGAUCAUUACCGAGUGCGGGUCCCCUCGCGGGGCCCAACCUCCCACCCGUGUCUACCGUCACCUGUUGCUUCGGCGGGCCCGCCUUCGUGCCGCCGGGGGGCCCUCUGCGCCCCCGGGCCCGCGCCCGCCGAAGACUCUAGGAACACUGAAUGAAGGAUGCCGUCUGAGUCAAACGACACAAUCGUUAAAACUUUUAACAACGGAUCUC